rnacentral:rRNA from 2 species
CAAUGGGCGAAAGCCUGACGGAGCAAUACCGCGUGAGGGAGGAAGGCUCUUGGGUUGUAAACCUCUUUUCUCAGGGAAGAAAAAAAUGACGGUACCUGAGGAAUAAGCAUCGGCUAACUCCGUGCCAGCAGCCGCGGUAAUACGGAGGAUGCAAGCGUUAUCCGGAAUGAUUGGGCGUAAAGCGUCCGCAGGUGGCGAUGAAAGUCUGCUGUUAAAGAGUGAGGCUCAACCUCAUAAAAGCAGUGGAAACUACAUAGCUAGAGUACGUUCGGGGCAGAGGGAAUUCCUGGUGUAGCGGUGAAAUGCGUAGAGAUCAGGAAGAACACCGGUGGCGAAAGCGCUCUGCUAGGCCUGUACUGA